CCUAACCUAGCAAAAGAAUCUAAAAUAUGUUUCACCCAAAUUAGGGUUUAACGAUUUUAGGGCUGACGAGACGACCAGUGUAGGGGUUUAAGCUUCAACUACACUUUCCGCCAUACUUUUUCCCUUCGAAGCUUUCCUUGUCUCUAUUCAACGUUUCAGGACGAAGAAGAAAGGUGGGCUUAUCUCCCUCAUUUUCUUUUCUGGCGGAAUAUUUCUCUCUCUUCUUCGAAGUUUUUGAACUUUGAAGCAAGAAAGGGCUUAUACCCUCAAAUGUACACUAAGAGAGCCACAAUUCUCAAGCUCAAUUCUCUCACGGUGUUAUCAAAGGUAUGCUCUCCCCGAAACGCUUCAGAUUCUCUUAAAAAAAUUUAUCUUUUGAGAAAUUUUAGAUCUGCAGCCGGAUUAGUCGAUUCCCAAGUCGAUAAUGGCUAUCAAACGGAAGUUUCUUCUGAAUAUGGUCAAAACCCUCGUGGGUUUCAGAGCGAGAGACGUAACUUCACUGAUUUUGAGGACAAAGUGAGGGGACAAGGCUCAGCUCCAUAUGGGUUUUAUGGAAAAGGCCCUAAAAAUGGUUUUGUGGAAAGUACAGUUUCCCAUAAUGGUAACUGUAGUGGAGAUUUUGGAAAAAAUGAUAGUGAUUUGACGCGAAACUCAAAUGGGGCGUACCAGAAUCAUGGCGGGGCUUAUAGGGAGAGCUCUAACUUUGGAAGUUUUAACAACCAGUCUGGGCAAAAUGAGAACUUUAGUGGGUUUUAUGCUCAAAAUAAUGGAGGAAAUGGAAAUAUGCAGAAUUUAAAUACUUCUUAUCAGGUGGGAUCGAGUGAAAUGAGGCAAAACCCAGGUGGGUUUAGUUCACAAGGAAAUUUGGGAUUUCAGGGGGCUCCAAAUGGAAAUUAUUCGCAAUCAUUUUCGCAGUUUCAGCAAAGCCCGGAUACUCAGUAUGCGGGAAACUCUGGAAUGCAUCAGCAGAUCCCUGUCUAUGGACAGUAUCAACAUAAUCAUCAGCCAACCUCUAAUUAUUAUCAUAAUACUAUGGCGGGUCCUCAAGUACCAAGUUACCCUUUACCUGAAGGGGCAUUGGUUGAAGCACCCCAAAGUAGCCCAAAUGUUGUGAGUCUUCAGGACUUAGAUGGUCUGUGUAAGGAGGGGAAAGCCAAGGAAGCUGUGGAGGUUUUAAAAUUGUUGGAGAAACAACAUAUUCAUGUGGAUUUGCCUAGAUAUUUACUGUUAAUGCAGGUCUGUGGAGAGGCUAAAGCCCUAGAAGAGGCCAAAGUUGUUCAUGAAGAUAUUAUAAGGUCACAACCUUCUCUUCAAGUAAGUGAUUAUAACAGAAUCCUAGAGACAUAUUCAAGAUGUGGCUCUAUGGAAGAUGCAUUCUUGGUAUUUAACAAGAUGCCACAGCACAAUUUGACAUCGUGGGACAUUAUGAUAACAUGGCUUGCCAAGAAUGGUUCUGGGUGGGACGCCAUUGAUAUGUUCACUGAGUUUAAGCAGGCAGGGCGGAAACCCGAUGGUCAAAUGUUUAUUGGGGUUUUCUACGCUUGCAGUGUUGCUGGAGAUAUUGAUGAGGGAAUGUUGCAUUUUGAGUCAAUGAGCAAAGAUUUUGGCAUUGUUCCAGCGAUGGAUCAUUAUGUCAGUAUAGUUGAUAUGCUAGGAAGUGCAGGCCAUCUGGAUGAAGCUUUGGAGUUCAUUGAGAAGAUGCCAUUGCAGCCUACUGUUGAUAUUUGGGAAGCCCUAAUGAAUUUGUGCAGAGUUCAUGGGCACACAGAGCUUGGUGAUCGUUGUGCUGAGCUUGUUGAGCAGCUAGAACCUUCACGCUUAGAUAAGGAGUCAAAAGCUGGCCUUAUUCCAGUGAAAUCUUCUGAUUUUGUAAAAGAGAAAGAGAAGAAGAAAGAUCCAAGUCUUUUAGAAGUAAGAAGUCGAGUCCAUGAAUAUAGAGCAGGUGAUACCUCUCAUCCUGAGAAUGAUAAGAUUUAUGCCAAGCUUAGGGGUUUGAGAGAACAAAUGAAAGAAGCUGGUUAUAUACCGGAGACUAGAUUUGUGCUACAUGACAUAGAUCAGGAAAGCAAGGAAGAUGCUCUUCUUGCUCACAGUGAGAGACUGGCUGUUGCCUAUGGCCUCCUCAGCAGCUCAGCACGUUCACCUAUUAGGGUGAUCAAGAAUCUUCGGGUUUGUGGUGAUUGUCAUAACGCACUGAAGAUCAUUUCUAAGAUAGUCGGCAGAGAACUCAUCAUGCGUGAUGCUAAGAGGUUCCAUCACUUCAAAGAUGGAUUGUGCUCUUGCCGGGAUUAUUGGUGAACAAAAAUUGAGGACAAACUGUUUUGGUAUGUGUUAAUCAUCUAUUGCCUGCUUCGAUUAGUGGAAUCCUAACUGAGAAAAUAUUAGGAUCUACUAUGGCGAUCGAUGGUCCUUCACAGAUCGCCAUCGUUGCCAUUAAGUCAAGGCAUAUGCAGGACGUGAUUUUUGUAAUUUUUUCCCUUCAUUUCAGUUAUGGUAUAACUGAAAAGAUCUCUUCGGAUAACCAUUCUUGCAGCCAUUGAAGCUUAUCCUCCAUAUUCUUAUUCAUACAAAAUUUUGGUUUGUUGCGAAUUGGAUGUAGAUAUUAUACCAUAACAGGGCAUGUAGCAAUGAAAAACCUGCUUGUAUUUUUGACCUGCCUGACUUAAUAAAUAUAUUUCAUUUCAUUAA